rnacentral:rRNA from 1 species
AAACUACAAGGAAUUGACGGGGCCCGCACAAGCGGUGGAGCAUGUGGUUUAAUUCGACGCAACGCGAAGAACCUUACCAGGGCUUGACAUCCCCUGACCGCGUAUGAAAGUACGUUUUCACCCUCGGGUGACAGGGAGACAGGUGGUGCAUGGUUGUCGUCAGCUCGUGUCGUGAGAUGUUGGGUUAAGUCCCGCAACGAGCGCAACCCCUACGUUUAGUUGCUAACGUGUAACGAUGAGCACUCUAGGCGGACUGCCGUUGACAAAACGGAGGAAGGUGGGGAUGACGUCAAAUCAUCAUGCCCCUUAUGUUCUGGGCUACACACGUGCUACAAUGGCCGGUACAAAGGGACGCAAAGCCGCGAGGUGGAGCAAAUCCGAUAAAAGCCGGUCUCAGUUCGGAUUGCAGGCUGAAAUUCGCCUGCAUGAAGUCGGAAUCGCUAGUAAUCGCAGGUCAGCAUACUGCGGUCGAAUACGUUCCCGGGCCUU